UGGUGGUGGUACACUGCAUUCUCAGAGCCAAGCAGGACUUUGUGCAACUUAAAAAGGGAGGCAGCAAGGUGACGUCCAACGCUCUUUCCCGCUCCAUAAAGAGUGAACAUUGUCUGAGGCAGCUGAGGGUACAGUCAGCAAUGGAACAAGAUGCCAUUGGUGUUUUGCUGCCACCUUCUACUUUGUGAGGACACAGCAAGAAGGCCCUCUCUGGACACCAGGGGUCAGCACCCUGAUCUUCCCAGCCUCCAGAACUAAGGAGGUCAGAAGAUCUAAGAAGACAUUGCUGAGCUUUCCCCAACAUAGGUCACAGGAUGCUCAGGUGAGAGAUGCUCUUCCAGUAUCCAGGAGAAAGGAUCAUCUUUAAAGAUACAAGGCACAGAGAGGAAUCCGAACAAAUAAGCCUGGCUAAGUUCACACCCCCUUGUCCCAUCUUUCCUCCAUCAAAACUGUGACAAGACACUCUUCAACUAUUCAGUAGUUUUGUCUUUUUUGUUGGGUUUUUAUUUCAUGAGGACAUCUUCCACGUUAUAUACAAUUUAUAUUAAAUAAAUAUUUUUGUUUUUCUCAUGUUAACAUGCCUUUUGUUAUAGGAGCCCUGACCAUGAACUAUGGAGGGUAGGAGGAAAAGGAUAUUUUGUCACUCUUACAACAUUAAUGUCAAAUACUCUAAAUACAUUUUAUAUAUUACAUAUUGAUGUGAGGAAGGCAAUAAAAAUGAUCCAAUUGUUCAUAAGAAGUCUUUUAAACUUCCUAUUUUAAGCAAGACCUUCUUGUUUAUCUUUUGUCUUUUUAUCUUAUAAAAUAUUAAGUAUUUUACUUCCCAUUCUAAAUAAGAGUUUUCUAUUGUUUUUUUAUUGUAUGUGAUACACUGUGUUUCAUUUUCAAGUUUCAUCAUUCCAUGCUUAAGUGUUCUUUCUCUUUGUUUAAUCAAUAAUAUUUUCUAUUGAUUUUGUCCUUUCUUCUCUAAGUUAUAAGAAAAGAAGGGUGGUUCACAGUUACUUCUACAUAAAACAUAACCAAAUACGUUAAGUAUAUUGUGGGGAGCAACCCGGACUGGACUGAGUUACUGGAAUUAAGACUUAUUCUAUGCAUCUGCUCUCCCACAAUGUGGCGCUGGGAGAGGAGCAAACAGCUUCUACCCAGCUGCCUCUCACCAACUUGACAAGCUGCAAGA